GGGCUGGUAGUUCAGCGGUAGAAUACCCGCCUUGCACGCGGGGGGUCUGGGGUUCAAAUCCCCACCAGUCCA
rfam:Thaumarchaeota archaeon 13_1_40CM_38_12 13_1_40cm_scaffold_557, whole genome shotgun sequence.